rnacentral:rRNA from 1 species
UAGGCAACCUUCCCAAGACCGGGACAACAUCUCGAAAGGGGUGCUAAUACCGGAUGUGACCCAUGAGAGACAUCUCUUGUGGAUUAAAGCGCGCAAUCGGCUUUUGGGAGGGGCCUGCGGCCUAUCAGCUAGUUGGUGUGGUAACGGCUCACCAAGGCGACGACGGGUAGCUGGUCUGAGAGGAUGGUCAGCCGGACUGGGACUGAGACACGGCCCAG